rnacentral:lncRNA from 1 species
GAGGAGUUAAGGAACAUUUCUACCCGAUCAGAUUUUCAAAUAGAGUAAGUUCAUUUUUACUCUAAAUAUCCUUUGUUCUCUAUUUUUCCUUAGGAUUUAGUCAUCAAUCUUUGUGGGGUCAGUUGAGAAGUUUAAUCCUCUCAACUUAUUCUAUUAUAUACUGAAUUUUUGUUCUGUUUGGAUAACUUACAUUAGGCCCGUAAAUCUUGAAGUUUAUCCAGACUAUGGGGAAUAAAAUUCUAAAAGUUGCUUGAAAAACAAGCAAUUGAGGUAAGGGAAGCUAAAUUUAAUUUUUUAUAGCACCCUAGGAUAGAAGAUCUGAAUGCGGAAGGGACGUGGUCCCAAUAUUGAAUUUCUCUUGCAGGGGUGUUAUUUGUUUAUAUAUUGUGUGUUUGUUUAUAUAUUAUUUAAACUUUAUAAAUAUUAUAUUUUGAUAGUUUGAGAGUUAAAUAUUGUUUUUGACGUUGGAAAAGUUCUGGAAUGAUAUGAAUUUUUAAAUGUUAUGUGAUUGAAUGAUAUGUAUUAUAUGCGAAUGAUGUAAAUUGUAUGGAAGUGAUGUCAUACAUUUGGGAUAAUGUAUGGACUGAUGUUUGCUGUGUAUUAAGUAUUGAUGCCU